rnacentral:antisense_RNA from 1 species
GGACCCAGAGGGAGCGGAGCACGCGCCUUCGGGAAUCUUCGGUGCGCCAAGUCUGUUCGCCGCCGGGGUCUAUCACCCCCGCCCCUCGCCUCUGCCCGUGAGCGUCAGCUGGCUUGGCUUUUUCAGAGGAAACAGAGACUCUCAGACAUGAAUACUGUGACACUGACCACCAGGCCAACUUAACAUCAGCAGAUAUCCUGUCUCAGAUGAAGAGAUGGAGUCUCGCACUGUCGCCCCAGUUGGAGUGUAAUGGUGCGAUCUCGGCUCACUGCAAGCUCCGCCUCCCGGGUUCAUGCCAUUCUCCUGCCUCAGCCUCCUGAGUAGCUGGAACUACAGAAUGGCCUGUCCAGAAGACAGCCAAAUACAUCCUUCAAACAGACUUCACUGCAGGAGACAGAGUGGAUUCAUCCUGUAUUCUCCAUGUAGACUUCCAUCUUCAUGAGUACUCCAAGAAGAUGGUUCAGUUGACUAUUGCAAAGUCUCAGGUAUGUCUUUAUCAGCAGCAUGAAAAUGGACUAAUAGUACCAGUAGAGUGGGGCAUUGCUGAAAAGAUACCCGAAAAUGUGGAAGCAACUUUGGAACUGGGUGUUGAAAUAAUCUGGAGGGCUCAGAAGAAGAUAGGAAAAUGUAGGAAAGUUUGGAACCUCCUAGAGACUGUGAAUGGCAUUGACAAAAAUACUGAUAGUGAUAUGAACAAUAAGGUCCAGGCUGAGGUGGUCUCAGAUGGAGAUGAAGACCUUGUUGGGAACUGAAGUAAAGGUGACCCUUGUUAUGUUUUAGCAAGGAGACUGGCAGCAUUUCACCCUUGCCCUAGAGAUUUGUGGAACUUAGAGCUUGAGAGAGAUGACUUAGGGUAUCUGGUGG